rnacentral:rRNA from 1 species
UACGGAGGAUGCAAGCGUUAUCCGGAAUGAUUGGGCGUAAAGCGUCUGCAGGUGGCAAUGUAAGUCUGCUGUCAAAGCGUCUGGCUCAACCAGAUAAAGGCAGUGGAAACUACAUAGCUAGAGUAAGGUAGGGGUAGAGGGAAUUCCUGGUGUAGCGGUGAAAUGCGUAGAGAUCAGGAAGAACACCGGUGGCGAAAGCGCUCUGCUGGACCUUAACUGACACUGAGGGACGAAAGCUAGGGGAGCGAAUGGG